GGCCAAUAAAUCAGUUGGGACAUCGACGGGAAGGUUUGGCACCUCGAUGUCGGCUCUUCGCCACCUGGAGCUGUAGGUGGUUCCAAGGGUUGGGCUGUUCACCCGUUAAUGCGGUACGUGAGCUGGGUUCAGAACGUCGUUUUGUAGUC
rnacentral:ncRNA from 1 species